rnacentral:pre_miRNA from 1 species
AAGGUACUUCCUCCGUUCGGAAUUACUUGUCGCAGAAAUGGAUGUAUCUAGAUGUAUUUUAGUUCUAGAUACAUCCAUUUCCGAGACAAGUAAUUCCGAACGGAGGGAGUAGUAU